UACGAAGGGGGCUAGCGUUGCUCGGAAUUACUGGGCGUAAAGCGCACGUAGGCGGCUUUCUAAGUCGGGGGUGAAAUCCUGGAGCUCAACUCCAGAACUGCCUUCGAUACUGGAAAGCUCGGGUCCGGGAGAGGUGAGUGGAACUGCGAGUGUAGAGGUGAAAUUCGUAGAUAUCAGGAGGAACACCGGUGGCGAAGGCGGCAUCCUGGACCGAGAUUGACGCUGAGGCGCGAAAGCCAGGGGAGCAAACGGG
rnacentral:rRNA from 1 species